GCUUGUUCCAACCAUAACUUCUCGGACGACGCUGUCAAAAACAGCAAUUUACCAUAAACUUGGAUAUAUAUGUAUAUAUGUGCAAGAACUCAAGAGAGCAGAUGUUAUCAUGCAAACCUGUGACUGAGAGAAAACAUGAGACAUGCAUGGAAAUGACAGCAGGACAUGCAGGCUUAGAGACAGUUGCUUACGAAGAGAAAGAAGAGGAGGGUGUCGUCCGUCUCGCCACUGCCGGAUCUACACCAUUCUGCGAGUCCAGGCGAAGGUCCCGCGGCUCGAUUCGUUUUUUGAUGCAUGCAUGCAUAUUUUCCUGGCAAUUUUAAGAAGCCUCGAUCCGAGAGCGAGGUUGAAGUAAGCAAACAAGAGUAUAGAGGCAGCACCGGGAAGGAGGGGGAGAAGGAGAAGGAGAAGGAGAAUUCAGAUGGCUCGGUACGUGGUUGAGAGCUCCCUAAAUGCUUGAAAGCCUCAGGAAAGAGCACAGCCUUAGGAAAGAGCACGACAAUGCU
rnacentral:lncRNA from 1 species